ACUCCUACGGGAGGCAGCAGUGGGGAAUAUUGCACAAUGGGCGAAAGCCUGAUGCAGCAACGCCGCGUGAGGGACGAAGGCCUUCGGGUUGUAAACCUCUUUUAGUAGGGAAGAAGGGAGCUUGCUCUUGACGGUACCUGCAGAAAAAGCACCGGCUAACUACGUGCCAGCAGCCGCGGUAAUACGUAGGGUGCAAGCGUUAUCCGGAAUUAUUGGGCGUAAAGAGCUCGUAGGCGGUUUGUCGCGCCUGCUGUGAAAACUGGAGGCUCAACCUCCAGCCUGCAGUGGGUACGGGCAGACUAGAGUGCGGUAGGGGAGAUUGGAAUUCCUGGUGUAGCGGUGGAAUGCGCAGAUAUCAGGAGGAACACCAAUGGCGAAGGCAGAUCUCUGGGCCGUAACUGACGCUGAGGAGCGAAAGCAUGGGGAGCGAACAGGAUUAGAUACCCUGGUAGUCCAUGCCGUAAACGUUGGGAACUAGAUGUAGGGUCCAUUCCACGGAUUCUGUGUCGCAGCUAACGCAUUAAGUUCCCCGCCUGGGGAGUACGGCCGCAAGGCUAAAACUCAAAGGAAUUGACGGGGGCCCGCACAAGCGGCGGAGCAUGCGGAUUAAUUCGAUGCAACGCGAAGAACCUUACCAAGGCUUGACAUAUACCGGAAACGGCUGGAAACAGUCGCCCCGCA
rnacentral:rRNA from 1 species